ACAACAUUAGACAUACACAAAGGUCUUAACAGAAAACAUACCUGAAAAUCCUCAAUCUGCGUCGCGCCCUGCUAAAAAAAAAAAAAAGGCCACAUGACCUAAAGGAAUUUCCAAUCUGCGUCAAGACCUGCUAGAAAAAAAGAAAAGGCGAAAUUAGACAUACACAAAGGUCUUAACAGAAAACAUACCUGAAAAUCCUCAAUCUGCAUCGCGCCCUGCUAGAAAAAAAGAAAAGUCGACAUUAGACAUACACAAAGGCCUUAACAGAAAACAUACCUUGAAUCUCCAAUCUGCGUCGCGCCCUGCUAGAAAAAAAGAAAAGACAACAUUAGACAUACACAAAGGUCUUAACAGAAAACAUACCUGGAAUCCUCAAUCUGCGUCGCGCCCUGCUAGAAAAAAAAGAAAAGGCGCAAUUAGACAUACACAAAGGUCUUAACAGAAAACAUACCUGGGAAUCCUCAAUCUGCGUCGCGCCCUGCUAGAAAAAAAGAAAAGACAACAUUAGACAUACACAAAGGUCUUAACAGAAAACAUACCUGAAAAUCCUCAAUCUGCGUCAUAAAAAAAAGAAAGGCCACACGACCUAAAGGAAAAAAAAAGAAACAUUAGACAUACACAAAGGUCUUAACAGAAAACAUACCUGGAAUCCUCAAUCUGCGUCGCACCCUGCUAGAAAAAAAGAAAAGACAACAUUAGACAUACACAAAGGUCUUAACAGAAAACAUACCUGGAAUUCCUCAAUCUGCGUCGCGACCUGCUAGAAAAAAAGAAAAGGCAACAUUAGACAUACACAAAGGUCUUAACAGAAAACAUACCUGCGAAUCCUCAAUCUGCGUCGCGCCCUGCUAGAAAAAAAGAAAAGGCGAAAUUAGACAUACACAAAGGUCUUAACAGAAAACAUACCUGGAAUCCUCAAUCUGCGUCGCCCCUGCUAGAAAAAAAGAAAAGGCGAAAUUAGACAUACACAAAGGUCUUAACAGAAAACAUACCUGGAAUUCCUCAAUCUGCGUCGCGCCCUGCUAGAAAAAAAGAAAAGGCGACAUUAGACAUACACAAAGGUCUUAACAGAAAACAUACCUGCGAAUCUUCAAUCUGCGUCGCGCUCUGCUGGGAAAAAAAAGAAAAGACAACAUUAGACAUACACAAAGGUCUUAACAGAAAACAUACCUGGAAAUCCUCAAUCUGCGUCGCGCCCUGCUAAAAAAAAAAAAAGGCCACACGACCUAAAGGCAAUCUGCGUCAAGACCUGCUAGAAAAAAAGAAAAGGCGACAUUAGACAUACACAAAGGUCUUAACAGAAAACAUACCUGGAAUUCCUCAAUCUGCGUCGCGACCUGCUAGAAAAAAAGAAAAGGCGACAUUAGACAUACACAAAGGUCUUAACAGAAAACAUACCUGGAAUUCCUCAAUCUGCGUCGCGCCCUGCUAGAAAAAAAGAAAAGGCAACAUUAGACAUACACAAAGGUCUUAACAGAAAACAUACCUGAAAAUCCUCAAUCUGCGUCGCGCCCUGCUAGAAAAAAAGAAAAGGCAACAUUAGACAUACACAAAGGUCUUAACAGAAAACAUACCUUCGAAUCUUCAAUCUGCGUCGCGUCCUGCUGGAAAAAAAAAGAAAAGGUGACAUUAGACAUACUCAAAGGCCUUAACAGAAAACAUACCUGGAAUCCUCAAUCUGCGUCGCGCCCUGCUAGAAAAAAAGAAAAGGACAACAUUAGACAUACACAAAGGUCUUAACAGAAAACAUACCUGAAAAUCCUCAAUCUGCGUCGCGCCCUGCAAAAAAAAAAGUCCACACGACCUAAAGGAAAAAAAAAGGAACCAUUAGACAUACACAAAGGUCUUAACAGAAAACAUACCUAAAUCCUCAAUCUGUGUCGCGCCCUGCUAGAAAAAAAGAAAAGGCAACAUUAGACAUACACAAAGGUCUUAACAGAAAACAUACCUGAAAAUCCUCAAUCUGCGUCACGCCCUGCUAGAAAAAAAGAAAAGGCGAAAUUAGACAUACACAAAGGUCUUAACAGAAAACAUACCUGGAAUUCCUCAAUCUGCGUCGCGCCCUGCUAGAAAAAAAGAAAAGGCAACAUUAGACAUACACAAAGGUCUUAACAGAAAACAUACCUGAAUUCCUCAAUCUGCGUCGCGCCCUGCUAGAAAAAAAGAAAAGGCGACAUUAGACAUACACACAAAGGUCUUAACAGAAAACAUACCUGAAUUCCUCAAUCUGCGUCGCGCCCUGCUAGAAAAAAAGAAAAGGCGACAUUAGACAUACACAAAGGCCUUAACAGAAAACAUACCUGCGAAUCUUCAAUCUGCGUCGCGCCCUGCUGGAAAAAAAAAGAAAAGGUGACAUUAGACAUACUCAAAGGCCUUAACAGAAAACAUACCUGAAAAUCCUCAAUCUGCGUCGCGCCCUGCUAAAAAAAAAAAAAAGGCCACACGACCUAAAGGAAUUUCCAAUCUGCGUCAAGACCUGCUAGAAAAAAAGAAAAGCAACAUUAGACAUACACAAAGGUCUUAACAGAAAACAUACCUGGAAUUCCUCAAUCUGCGUCGCGACCUGCUAGAAAAAAAGAAAAGGCGACAUUAGACAUACACAAAGGUCUUAACAGAAAACAUACCUGGAAUCUCUCAAUCUGCGUCGCGCCCUGCUAGAAAAAAAAGAAAAAGACAACAUUAGACAUACACAAAGGUCUUAACAGAAAACAUACCUGGAAUUCCUCAAUCUGCGUCGCGACCUGCUAGAAAAAAAAGAAAAGGCGACAUUAGACAUACACAAAGGUCUUAACAGAAAACAUACCUGGGAAUCCUCAAUCUGCGUCGCGCCCUGCUAGAAAAAAAGAAAAGGCGAAAUUAGACAUACACAAAGGUCUUAACGGAAAACAUACCUGGGAAUCCUCAAUCUGCGUCGCACCCUGCUAGAAAAAAAGAAAAGGCGAAAUUAGACAUACACAAAGGUCUUAACAGAAAACAUACCUGAAAAUCCUCAAUCUGCGUCGCCCCCUGCUAGAAAAAAAGAAAAGGCGACAUUAGACAUACACAAAGGUCUUAACAGAAAACAUACCUGAAUUCCUCAAUCUGCGUCGCGCCCUGCUGAGAAAAAAAAGAAAAGGUGACAUUAGACAUACUCAAAGGCCUUAACAGAAAACAUACCUGCGAAUCUGCAAUCUGCGUCGCGCCCUGCUAGAAAAAAAGAAAAGACAACAUUAGACAUACACAAAGGUCUUAACAGAAAACAUACCUGAAAAUCCUUAAUCUGCGUCGGGCCCUGCAAAAAAAAAGAAAGCCACACGACCUAAAGGAAAAAAAUUAGACAUACACAAAGGUCUUAACAGAAAACAUACCUGGAAUACCUCAAUCUGCGUCGACCCUGCUAGAAAAAAAGAAAAGACAACAUUAGACAUAC
rnacentral:lncRNA from 1 species